UACGGGGGGAGCAAGCGUUGUUCGGAUUUACUGGGCGUAAAGGGCGCGUAGGCGGCGUAACAAGUCACUUGUGAAAUCUCCGGGCUUAACUCGGAGCGGUCAAGUGAUACUGUUGUGCUAGAGUGCGGAAGGGGCUACUGGAAUUCUCGGUGUAGCGGUGAAAUGCGUAGAUAUCAGGAGGAACACCGGUGGCGAAGGCGGGAUCCUGGGCCAGUACUGACGCUGAGAAGCGAAAG
rnacentral:rRNA from 1 species